UGGCCGAGCAGUUCCUGGAUGACUCCACAGCCCUGUACACUUUUGCUGAGAGCUACAAAAAGAAGAUAAGCCCCAAGGAAGAAAUUAGCCUGAGCACUGUGGAGUUAAGUGGCACGGUGGUGAAACAAGGCUACCUGGCCAAGCAGGAAGAGAACAGGCCAGUGGGUGGGUUUUCUCUUCGUGGUUCACUCGUGUCUGCUCUGGAAGAUAAUGGCGUUCCCACUGGGGUUAAAGGGAAUGUCCAGGGAAACCUCUUCAAAGUGAUUACUAAGGAUGACACACACUAUUACAUUCAGGCCAGCAGCAAGGCUGAGCGAGCCGAGUGGAUUGAAGCUAUCAAAAAGCUAACAUGACAAGGACCUGAGGGAACCAGGAUUCCUCCCUCCUACCAGAUGACACAGACAAGAGUUCCUGGAGAAUGGGAGUGUUAAGACUUUUGACUUCUUUGUAAGUUUUGUACUGCUUUGGAGAGUGAAUGCUGCCAAGAGUUCCUCAGAUUACAAACAGCAGUGGUGCCAUUUCCUUCCCCAUCUUCAUGUUACAAACCUGGAAAGGCUAGAACAGCCAUUAGGCGUCAGCAUCUUGACUUUUCCCCAGCAUCACAAACAGCCAUUUCCUCGGGCACCAAAGUAGGUUCCCUUUGUUGGAACAAUUACACUGGCCAUGCCAUAAUGUUGAAUAAAACUCUCUUCUUA
rnacentral:lncRNA from 1 species